rnacentral:rRNA from 1 species
GACGUAGGGCGCGAGCGUUGUCCGGAAUUAUUGGGCGUAAAGAGCUCGUAGGCGGCUUGUCGCGUCGACUGUGAAAACCCGUGGCUCAACCAUGCGGUCUGCAGUCGAUACGGGCAGGCUAGAAUUCGGUAGGGGAGACUGGAAUUCCUGGUGUAGCGGUGAAAUGCGCAGAUAUCAGGAGGAACACCGGUGGCGAAGGCGACACGCUGGGCCAUACCUGACGCUAAAGCGCGACAGCAUGGGGAGCAAACGGG